rnacentral:rRNA from 1 species
CCCCUAGAUGUUCUGGGCCGCACGCGCGCUACACUGAACAGUUCAACAAGUCUUAACCUUGGCCGAUAGGUCUGGGUAAUCUUUGAACGCUGUUCGUGAUUGGGAUAGACCUUUGCAAUUAUGGGUCUUCAACGAGGAAUUCCUAGUAAACGCAAGUCAUCAGCUUGCAUUGAUUACGUCCCUGCCCUUUGUACACACCGCCCGUCGCACCUACCGAUUGAGUGAUCCGGUGAAUAAUUCGGACUGCAGCAGUGUUCAGUUCCUGAACGUUGCAGCGGAAAGUUUAGUGAACCUUAUCACUUAGAGGAAGGAGAANUCGUAACA